AUGGAGAAUGUUGUAGUGUUGAUUGUUGGCGUUGGGCCAGCAGGCCUUGCAACAGCAGCAUGCCUUAGCCAAUUCUCAAUUCCCUAUCUCAUUGUCGAGUGUGAAAGUUGCAGCGCGUCGCUUUGGCGCAACCGCGCCUACGAUCGCCUCAAGCUGCAUCUUGCAAAGGAGUUCUGUGAGUUGCCACACAUGUCAUACCCACUAGAUGCUCCAACAUACAUACCAAAAACCUUGUUUGUCAAGUACUUGGAUGACUAUGUUGAGCGUUUUAAUAUUCAACCCAAGUAUCUCACUAGUGUGGAGUCAUCCACAUUUGACGAUGACGAAAAAUGUUGGUCCAUCAUGAUUCAUGUAAUGACAAAGGAACUAAUCCGGUUGGGGAUGACACUUGCUCGCCGCCUUCCACUGAAUCUAGUGGAUAACCUCCUUGUGAUGGCGGCGAAUUUAAUAUUUGGAGACCUAUCGAGGUAUGGCAUUAGAAGGCCAAAAAUGGGUCCAAUGAUCCUCAAGUCAAAAACCGGCCGAUCCGCUGUUAUUGAUGUUGGCACUGUUGGGUUAAUCAAAAAAGGUAUCAUCAAAGUACAUGGGAGCAUUAGUAAGAUCAUGGGUGAUAUAGUUGAAUUUCAAUGCAGUAAAAAGAUAUCAUUUAAC
rnacentral:rRNA from 1 species